AGUAACGGCGAGUGAAGCGGUAACAGCUCAAAUUUGAAAUCUGACCUUCACGGGUCCGAGUUGUAAUUUGUAGAGGAUGUUUCGGAUAGGCUUUGGUUUAAGUUUCUUGGAACAGAACGUCAUAGAGGGUGAGAGUCCCGUCUAGACCCUAUAGCCGCGUCCAUGUGAAGCUCCUUCGACGAGUCGAGUUGUUUGGGA
rnacentral:rRNA from 1 species